rnacentral:sRNA from 1 species
AAACCACAAGGGGAGCCGAAGCUCCCCCAGAAUUAGUUACGUGCUCUAUUUUUAUUAUUGGUUUCGGGCUUCUUGUUUUUGUUGAGUGCCCGCGUCACGAGGUUUUCCCUUCGUGACCCUCCCAAUCGGGAGCCAAGAGCAAACGGAUUGCUUUGAUCGCUGUGUUGCAGUGAUCUAUCGAUCCAACCAGUUCAGGCACCUGUCUUGAGACAGUU